rnacentral:rRNA from 1 species
CAGCAGCCACGGUAACACGUAGGGUGCAAGCGUUGUCCGGAAUCAUUGGGCGUAAAGCGCGCGUAGGUGGCCACUUAAGUCCGCUGUGAAAGUCAAAGGCUCAACCUUUGAAAGCCGGUGGAUACUGGAUGGCUAGAGUACGGAAGAGGCGAGUGGAAUUCCUGGUGUAGCGGUGGAAUGCGCAGAUAUCAGGAGGAACACCAAUAGCGAAGGCAACUCGCAGGGACGUUACUGACACUAAGGCGCGAAAGCGUGGGGAGCGAACAGGAUUAGAUACCCCCGUAGUCCCUGUCUCUUAUAC